GCGGGUUUAGCUCAGUUGGGAGAGCGUCAGACUGAAGUCAAACUUUGGGAUCCGAUAUCUGAAGGUCGUGUGUUCGAUCCACACAAACCGCA
rnacentral:tRNA from 1 species